rnacentral:snoRNA from 1 species
UUGAAUGAUGAAUACGGGGCCGUCUGAGUGGUGAUGAGAUUUCCCCAAUGCUGAUA